rnacentral:rRNA from 1 species
UAACGCGAAGAACCUUACCUGGGCUUGACAUGUGAGUGACCGCCGUGGAAACACGGUUUUCCUUCGGGACACUUUCACAGGUGGUGCAUGGCUGUCGUCAGCUCGUGUCGUGAGAUGUUGGGUUAAGUCCCGCAACGAGCGCAACCCCCGUUCCAUGUUGCCAGCAUUAGGUUGGGGACUCAUGGGAGACUGCCGGUGAUAAACCGGAGGAAGGUGGGGAUGACGUCAAGUCAUCAUGCCCCUUAUGUCCAGGGCUACACACGUGCUACAUUGGCGCAUACAAAGGGCAGCAAUACCGUGAGGUGGAGCGAAUCCCAUAAAGUGCGUCUCGGUUCGGAUUGGAGGCUGAAACUCGCCUCCAUGAAGGUGGAGUUGCUAGUAAUCGCGGAUCAGCAAUGCCGCGGUGAAUACGUUCCCGGGUCUUGUACACACA